AUUGAACGCUGGCGGCAGGCCUAACACAUGCAAGUCGAGCGGAUGAGUGGAGCUUGCUCCAUGAUUCAGCGGCGGACGGGUGAGUAAUGCCUAGGAAUCUGCCUGGUAGUGGGGGACAACGUUUCGAAAGGAACGCUAAUACCGCAUACGUCCUACGGGAGAAAGUGGGGGAUCUUCGGACCUCACGCUAUCAGAUGAGCCUAGGUCGGAUUAGCUAGUUGGGGAGGUAAAGGCUGACCAAGGGAACUAUCCGUAACUGGUCUGAAAGGUGAUCAGUCACACUGGAACUGAGACACGGUCCAGACUCCUACGGGAGGCAGCAGUGGGGAAUAUUGGACAAUGGGCGAAAGCCUGAGCCAGCCAUGCCGCGUGUGUGAAGAAGGUCUUCGGAUUGUAAAGCACUUUAAGUUGGGAGGAAGGGCAGUAAGUUAAUACCUUGCUGUUUUGACGUUACCAACAGAAUAAGCACCGGCUAACUUCGUGCCAGCCGCCGCAGUAAGAC
rnacentral:rRNA from 1 species